UACAGCCAUAUCACCUUGAAACACCUGUUCCUAUACAAUCACUGAAGUUAAGCAAUAUUAAGUUAAGCUUGGUCAGUACCUAGAUGGGUGACUACUUGGGAAUACCAGGUGAUGUAAG